UUUGUUCUUCCAUUUUCAGGCAGCGAGGGAGAAAGCCGUUGGUUGUGUUUACAAGGACGGAAGAAGUGGUCCCUCUCAACCGCGAUUUCCUCCCGCCACUAUCAAUAAAACGCACCCGGUCACUUGAAAAGUGGAAACUAUAACUGGAAAAAAACCUUACUGUAUAACAGUUUACCUUUUUUCAAAGAAGCGCAAGACUAGCUAGCUUAAUACAUACAAAAUGGAGAACGAGAGCAAAUAUCUCCCCGAAUUGCUGGCAGAAAAGGACAGCCUGGAUUCGUCUUUCACACACGCAAUGAAACUUCUUUCUGCAGAAAUCGAGAGGAUUCAGAAGGGCGAGACAAAGAAGGAUGAGAGGGAGACCUACCUGGACCUCUUCACAGUGAAGAAUGUGAAACUGAAGGAGAGGGUGCUGAUCCCAGUGAAGCAGUACCCCAAGUUCAAUUUUGUAGGGAAGAUUCUCGGACCUCAAGGAAACACUAUCAAGCGUCUACAGGAAGAGACGGGCGCCAAGAUAUCAGUCCUCGGGAAGGGGUCCAUGAGGGACAAAGCCAAGGAGGAAGGUCUGAGGAAGAGUGGUGAGCCCAAGUACGCCCACCUGUCCAUGGAGCUGCACGUGUUCAUAGAGGUGUUUGCCCCGGUGCCUGAAGCCUACCUGCGGAUGGCCCACGCCAUGGAGGAGGUCAAGAAGUUCCUGUUUCCUGUGAGUGUCGGCCAGCGUCAGGACAUGAUGGACGACAUCUGCCAGGAGCAGUUCAUGGAGAUGAGUUACCUGAACGGAGGCCAGGAACCCACAGGCAGGGGCCGAGGAGGCCCACCAGUCCGAGGUCGCGGGGCCCCGCCGCCCUCCUCCCAAGCCGCUCGGGGACGAGCCUUGCCGCCCCGCGGUGGAACACCUCGGGGUGGCCCAGUGAGAGGCGCCUCUGUCAGAGGUGGUCCUUCGAGCCGCGGCGGACCUCCUGCUCAACCGGCUCGAGGUGCGGCCGCCACACGUGCCAGACCGCCUGCCCCUGGGCCCCAGAGGAUGCCCCCACCACAUCCCCCUGCCCCCGAGCAUUACGAUGAAUAUGCUUAUGAAGAAAGCUAUGCAGAGCCAGCAUACGAGUCUUACGACACCUACUACACCCAGCCCCAAGCAGAGCCAGAGUACUAUGACUAUGGACAUGGGGAGGCCCAGGAAGCUUAUGAAACUUACGGUCAGGAUGACUGGAACGGGACGCGGCCAGCUGCGGGUGGGAAGGCACCCCCAGCACGGCCAGCCAAAGGAGCCUACAGGGAACACCCGUACGGAAGAUACUGAGCGGGCCCCAGCGGAAGUUUGCUUUAGCGUGUGGCCCCACCAAGCUACUGUCACCCGCGGCAGCUCUCGCUUUAAGCAACCAGACAAAAGUAAUCACAUGACAAAUUGGUCUGUCCGUGGGACCAUAUAAGGACUCAGACUCAAGAUGAGCUGGAGUUGGGGGUCUUGAAAGGGUGUGUGCGUGCAGGUUGUUACGGACACCCGAGGGGACAGAGUGGAGUUCAUAGUCCUUGCGUCACCGAAGGCCACCUACCGAAGACCAAGACCCUGGACCCUUCUUCCGUUUGCCAGCCUUUCUGUUUGAGGCCGUCGGCUGAGAGGCGGGGUAGCGAUUUUUUCCGGAAUCUCCUGGGUGGCUAUUCCCCAGUCUCGGUUAACGUAUCGCAAAGCAGGUCAGCGAAGUGUCUCCUAGCUACAGUGGCCGGGACCCCGCCCACUAGCGCGUUUUCUUGUGGCCGCGCUCGACACCGUAAACCGGGUCAGAGAUUCUGCUCCUUGGCUGGCAUCGUGUCUCUCGCUGGCCGGGUUAGCGGCUUUCAGGGCGACCCAGAAAAGCCGUCUUCCUGUGGCACCGUCUCCAGCAGCACUAGGAAACAAGUCUGUGGCAUUGUUUUGCCUGCUUAUAAUUCCGUUAAAGUGUGUUAGUUGUAUAGCUAUUUGGUGUGAGAGCACAGUGUGUCAGCGGAAGCUUUAUGAAGGUAUUUAGUAAUGAUGUGGGGGCUUCUGGGAUUUUCAGAUCAGAUGUACCUGGGCAGCAAAGGCUACUGUUUCAUACUAGUGGGUUAUUUUAAAGCUGUGAGCUCAGUUACUCUGAAUUGGAGCAUUUGCGAAGCAGGCAGAGUCUAUCGCGCCCUAAAAAGAAAGACCUUGUGACACAAGGUCUAAUCCAGAGAGUGCAAACUAGUCCUCCCACUCGCCACUUGGUAUGCUCCGCGUGCCUGCCGCUCGGCACUAGGUCCGCUCUGGCUGUCCCUCCCUCUCCGCUUGGUUCAUUCCGCUCGCUUGCUACUUGACCCUUCCACCCCCCGUCCCCACCAUUUGGUCUGCCCCUCUGUUCUUACCAAUUAAAGCCAGUGACGGCGCUUGCGUUGCCCCAGGCAGUGUAUUGGCGGCACCUUGGCGGCCUCCUGUUGCGCACAGAUCGUUUAUUGCAGGGGAUUUAAUAACCGCUUCAGGCCGAGGCCUCUAACAACUGGAAAUCCAGGAAGAGUCUGCGGGAGCUGCAAAUGUAAUGAGAAAUUCCAAAGGCAGAAAAUGAAAAGGGACGGAACCCAAGUGGGCCGCACGCACACAUGUUUGUGACCCACCCGGCCAUCGUGGAACUCCUCAACCAGUGUCUGCUGCUGUCGCUUAGUCCUUGCUAUCCUGCUUUUCAAUCGGCAAGGGCUCUCUGCCAGACUGGCCUUCUGACAAUUUUUUCAAAAAUAAUUUCUUGUAUGACCUUAAUCUGAACUGUAUAAGUGUAUUCAGCAUGUCUCCAUGAAUACUUAAGUUGGCUUUUGGCUGUGUCAAAUAAGAAAAAAUGAAAAAUAAACAGAUGGUAGGUACCAUCCCGAGGAAAUCCUGUAUGGCUCCGUUAGAAACGGCCAGCUUCUAUCAUGGGGACUUCAGCCCUGGUUGUAACACUUCACUGACAGUUCCAGAAGGAAUGGCAGAGGCUUGUUCAAUAUUAACUUGGAUUUGCUUAAACCUGUUGUUUUUAUUCCCCCUAUGUUGUUGUGGGACUUGUUUAAACAAGAAUCUAAUAAAAGAAGAUGUAAUUUGCA